UACGUAGGCAGCAAGCGUUGUUCGGAGUUACUGGGCGUAAAGGGUGCGUAGGCGGCCCUGUAAGUAUGGUGUGAAAUCUCCCGGCUUAACUGGGAGGGUGCGCUAUAGACUGCGGGGCUCGAGUGUGGGAGAGGAAAGUGGAAUUCCUGGUGUAGCGGUGAAAUGCGUAGAUAUCAGGAGGAACACCGGUGGUGUAAACGGCUUUCUGGACCAUAACUGACGCUGAGGCACGAAGGCGUGGGUAGCAAACAGG
rnacentral:rRNA from 1 species